rnacentral:rRNA from 1 species
AUGGAGCUUCAAGCUAUUUUUACCAGCUGGCUCGUGGAGACAGAUCUUGCUUUACUUUUCGUCUUUAUUUUCAAGAUGAUGCACAUCUUCUUAGAGCUAGUGCUUGGUACCGUCAAAUGUUCGGAAUGUGCAAUAUUUCUGUUAGCAUGGAGACACCUUCAGUUUUUCUUUGAAGGGCGGAGACACCUCAAGUUAGUACUGUUCAGUGCUUGUAGUUGGGAAAUGCCAUUUGUUUUGGCUUGUGUUUAUUCCAAGAGAAGCCCAACAUUUGCACCAGUAUAUGAACUGCUCAGAGAAUAA